AAAACUUUCAACAACGGAUCUCUUGGUUCUGGCAUCGAUGAAGAACGCAGCGAAAUGCGAUAAGUAAUGUGAAUUGCAGAAUUCAGUGAAUCAUCGAAUCUUUGAACGCACAUUGCGCCCGCCAGUAUUCUGGCGGGCAUGCCUGUUCGAGCGUCAUUUCAACCCCUCAAGCCCCGCUUGGUGCUGGGG
rnacentral:rRNA from 1 species